rnacentral:rRNA from 1 species
UUCGGCCCUCGGCAGACGGCUCAGUAACACGUAAUAAUUUGCCCUUAGUGGAGGAUACCCUCGGGAAACUGAGAAUAAUACUCCAUAAUCUAACUGCUGGAAUGCUUUUAAUUGAAAGAUUUAUCGCCUAAGGAUAAGUCUGCGGACUAUCAGGUUGUAGUCAGGAUAAAGACCUGACUAGCCUACGACGGAUACGGGUUGUGAGAGCACUAGCCCGGAGAUGAUAUCUGAGACACGAUAUCAGGCCCUACGGGGCGCACAGGCGCGAAAACUUCGCACUGUGCGAAAGCACGACGAGGGAAUCCCAAGUGCUGGCUCGUAAGAGUCAACUGUUUCUCUGUCUAAAAAACAGAGAGAGUAAGGGCUGGGUAAGACGGGUGCCAGCCGCCGCGGUAAUACCUGCAGCUCAAGUGGUGGCCGCUAUUAUUGGGCCUAAAACGUCCGUACCGGUUCUAUAAAUGCCUGGGUAAAUCGUACGGCUUAACCGUACGAAUUCCGGGUAGACUGUUCAACUUGGGACCGGGAGAGGCUAAGGUACUCCUGGGGUAGAGGUGAAAUCCUAUAAUCCCGGGAGGACCACCAGUGGCGAAGCUGUCUAGCUAAACGCGCCCGACGGUGAGGGAUGAAAGCUGGGGGAGCGAACCGGGAUUAGAUACCCGGGUAUCCCAGCUGUAAACGAUGCAGGCUAGUGUUAGGGCGGCUACGUGCCGCUCUAGUGCCCGCAGGGAAGCUGUUAAGCCUGCCGCCUGGGGAGUACGGACGCAAGGCUGAAACUUAAAAGGAAUUGGCGGGGGAGCACCACAAAGGGGUGAAGCUUGCGGUUUAAUUGGAGUCAACACGCCGGCAAAAUCUCACCGGGGGCGACAGCAGAAUGAAAGCCAGAUUAAGGUCUUGCCAGACGAGCUGAGAGGAGGUGCAUGGCCGUCGCCAGUUCGUGCCGUGAGGUGUCCUGUUAAGUCAGGCAACGAUCG